UGACUCGGAAGGCUGAAGUGGAGCGGAUCUUUUAUAGAUGCAUCGCCGGUCAAGGCACAUAUGGAGUUUUCCACACAAAAACUGAUAGACGGAAACCGCUUAUAUAAUAAAUAAAGAUUUUAAAAAAUCUGCACGUGUCAUGCCACUGCUGAUUACGAACUAUCCAGGAAACACACAAGAGACCGCGUUCUCUGGAGGUCCUCCG
rnacentral:lncRNA from 1 species